UUAGGCGGAUCCUCAAGGACAAGCCGCUAUUUCAGCUUUUGGAAAGCAAAGCUGCGGGGAACCCUCUGAAAGGCGCGACCACCAGGAACUGAGCUGAAUCUUGUGCGGCUUAAUAAGAACAGCAUCGGCUCAAGCAGGGACUUAAAAAGGAGAGGCUGUCGGCAAAUGAGGCAGGAAUUGAUCAAUCCUGUUUCAGGCAUAGAAUCAUGGAAUAGUUUGGGUUGGAAGAGAUCCCUGACGGUCAUCUAGUCCAGCCCCCCUGCAAGGGACAUCUUUGGCCAGAUCAUCUGGUGUGCAGCCCUUGGAGCCAUCCCCUGGCUCUGUCCGGGGCUCUCUGGCUCCCUGAUUUGACAUUGCCCAUGUAGACCGAGACCGGGGGGCACGAGGCAGGCAGUGUCGUCUUGCAGAUGAUUUAGGUUCAGUCCCUCAAGUCCCUCAGACUUAGGACUCAGCACAACAGUAAGCCAAGCACCAGCUUCGCUACUGCAAGGAGAUUUGCUCCACACAGCAGUGGCCAGAAUCUGCGUUCUGAGUUUGGCGGAUCUGUGCCCCUGCAGGAGAAAGCAGUCGGUCCCGUUACCCACAGAAUCAGUGCGAGCCAAAAGGCAGUCACUGCUGUGGCUGGGAGGGUGCGAGCCCACCCAAUUUCAGCAGUGGUGUGGUCUUACACCCAGUUCAAGCUGAACUUCGCUACAUCAGUUUGCAUUUGUUAUCCCAGAUUCAGAUGCUAGCAGGCUGUUACACUUAAACCAAUAUAUAACCAAAAUGUGGAGAAUAAAUCUAUCGGCCUAGCUUGGUAACUCAGUGCUGGGCAUUCAUGGUUUCACAUUUCUCCCCCUUUUCAGUGCUAAGUCCUAGUUCUUACGUGCCUUUGCAGAAGAUUUUCUUAAGCUAUAGUUCUUGUAGUUCUUGUAAGGUGCAGUGAGCUCAUCUGACAGCUCAGUGCGCUCAGAAUGAGGCUUUUGCCACUUUCUUUGUGCUAGUACUAGCAUUGAUAAGAUCCUUCUACGAGCAGCUGUAAAUCAUUAAAAUAGCAUAAAGCUAUCAUUAUAUGAUUUUCUACUGGGUUGCUGGAGCGGUCCACGGGAAGAUUCAGUGAACACCUGAAGUGGCGCAAGGAAACAAAGCAGACUUCCCAAUUUUCAUUUGCCUGUCAGUCUACAAGGGGCAUUCAGCUUCCUGUGAAUCUGUAGGUUGUAUUGGGUUAUCAGAAUCGUGAGGAAGCUCAGAAAACACUGUGAUGAUAGGGUUGCACAUAUGAGUAACCUGAACACAGUCUGUGAUACAAUUUGAAAAAAAAGUAAAUUCAGAUCAUGUUAUUUAAUGGUGGCUGUAAUUAAGGAGCUCAGACAAAUUUAGGUAAGACUAACUAGUUAGAAAAAUAGUGCAUUUAUUAUUCAUCCUAAACUAUGUUGGGUAAAGUAACUGUGAUUUAUCUUUCUUGUCAGAUUUCCGAUACACAAUGCAGAAGAGGUUUCCAUCAAUUCUGGAAGUGUAUUACAAAUCCAAUGAGUGGUCUGGAAUUCAUGGCAUAAGGGAGCAUGACCAAAUGACAUGGUUAAGCAGCAAGAACUGAAUCCUCUGUGCCUGAACUGUUUCUUCUUUUUGAUGAUGCUUUUCACAUCCCUAUUGUGAAGCCACUUGUCACGCUCUAUUUCCCACUGGAUCUGUUUGAUGUCUGUAAGAGGGAAAGUGAGAAAUAAUUGCCGAUGGAUACCUCUGACCAAUAUGUAAAAGUUGAAACUUGGCUAUUGUAUUUAUAGAUGUUAAUAAAGUGCAAGCUGCCAAUUUCUUUUUUUUUUU